rnacentral:rRNA from 1 species
CCUACGGGAGGCUGCAGUGGGGAAUAUUGGGCAAUGGGCGCGAGCCUGACCCAGCAACGCCGCGUGAAGGAAGAAGGCUCUCGGGUUGUUAACUUCUUUUCUCAGGGACGAAGCAAGUGACGGUACCUGAGGAAUAAGCCACGGCUAACUACGUGACAGCAGCCGCGGUAAUACGUAGGUGGCCAGCGGUAUCCGGAUUUACUGGGUGUAAAGGGCGUGUAGGCGGGAAAGCAAGUCAGAGGUGAAAACCAUGGGCUCAACCUGUGGCCUGCAUUUGAAACUGUUUUUCUUGAGUACUGGGGAGGCAGACGGAAUUCGUAGUGUAGCGGUGAAAUGCGUAGAUAUUAGGAGGAACCCCAGUGGCGAAGGCGGUCUGCUGGACAGCAACUGACGCUGAGGCGCGAAAGCGUGGGGAGCGAACAGGAUUAGAUACCCUUGUAGUC